AGCGUUGUCCGGAUUUAUUGGGCGUAAAGAGCGUGUAGGCGGUUAGGGCGGUCCGUUGUGAAAACUCGAGGCUCAACCUCGAGACGCCGAUGGAAACCAUCUAACUAGAGUCCGGAAGAGGAGAGUGGAAUUCCUGGUGUAGCGGUGAAAUGCGUAGAGAUGUGGAGGAACACCAGUGGCGAAGGCGGCUUUCUGGUCUGUAACUGACGCUGAGGCGCGAAAGCGUGGGGAGCAAACAGG
rnacentral:rRNA from 1 species